UACGUAGGGGGCAAGCGUUAUCCGGAUUUACUGGGUGUAAAGGGAGCGUAGACGGCGAUGCAAGCCAGAUGUGAAAGCCCGCGGCUCAACUGCGGUAGUGCAUUUGGAACUGUAUGGCUGGAGUGCGGGAGAGGUAAGCGGAAUUCCUAGUGUAGCGGUGAAAUGCGUAGAUAUUAGGAGGAACACCAGCGGCGAAGGCGGCUUACUGGACCGUGACUGACGUUGAGGCUCGAAAGCGUGGGGAGCAAACAGG
rnacentral:rRNA from 1 species